UACGGGGGGGGCAAGCGUUGUUCGGAAUUACUGGGCGUAAAGGGUCCGUAGGUGGCUUGCUAAGUCAGACGUGAAAUCCCUCGGCUUAACCGGGGAACUGCGUCUGAGACUGGCGAGCUUGAGUGCAGGAGAGGAACGCGGAAUUCCGGGUGUAGUGGUGAAAUGCGUAGAGAUUCGGAGGAACCCCAGAGGCGAAGGCGGCGCUCUGGCUCGCAACUGACGCUCAGACACGACAGCAUGGGGAGCGAACGGG
rnacentral:rRNA from 1 species